GGGGUUGUUACGGAUUCGACAGGUGUAGUUUGAGCAGGGAUUGCGCUUCGCAGGUUACGUCUGCGUUAAAACGUUACAGUUAAAUAUAACUGCAAAACAAAACAAUUCUUACGCUUUAGCUGCCUAAAAAACAGCGGGCGUGAGCGUCUUGGUGUCGCCCAUGCACUCAAGUAACGCUCUCAUUUCAGUGGGAUACGAUAAAUUUUUCCGUCUGCAAAAUUUAUAAGAGAUCAUCAGACUGGCAAUUUGGAACGCGAGUUUUGCCGCGACCCAAAUUGUAAGAAAAAAUAGCAAGACUAUGAGCGUAGAUAUGUUUGUGGCAAUAUGCUUGGACGCGGGUUCAAUUCCCGCCAGCUCCAUUU
rnacentral:tmRNA from 1 species